rnacentral:rRNA from 1 species
AUGCAAGUCGAGCGGGGGAAGGUAGCUUGCUACCGGACCUAGCGGCGGACGGGUGAGUAAUGCUUAGGAAUCUGCCUAUUAGUGGGGGACAACAUCUCGAAAGGGAUGCUAAUACCGCAUACGUCCUACGGGAGAAAGCAGGGGAUCUUCGGACCUUGCGCUAAUAGAUGAGCCUAAGUCGGAUUAGCUAGUUGGUGGGGUAAAGGCCUACCAAGGCGACGAUCUGUAGCGGGUCUGAGAGGAUGAUCCGCCACACUGGGACUGAGACACGGCCCAGACUCCUACGGGAGGCAGCAGUGGGGAAUAUUGGACAAUGGGGGGAACCCUGAUCCAGCCAUGCCGCGUGUGUGAAGAAGGCCUUAUGGUUGUAAAGCACUUUAAGC